UGUGUUUGAUGCCUCGCAGGUUGGUUCUUGUGCAGCCUACCAUUCUGGGUAAAGGAGGACACUUUGAUGGUUUGCCUCCAUCCUGCGCCUGGCAAUGGGUGCAGGGGAGGAUGAAGCACCCCCCGUGUUCCACUGAGCCUUGAUCGGUCACGUGGCCCUCGGGGUCGUGCAAUGCCCUUGGAUGCAGCGCAUGUGAUGGGCGAGGACUCGUCCUCGUCCUUAGAGUAGCUUCAAUGUAAUGCAAGACGGUCACACUCGUUCGCAGUCCGCUUAGGCGGCGCUGCGGCGGGGGGNGACGUCAUUGAGGAUUGCUACCUGGUUGAUCCUGCCAGUA
rnacentral:misc_RNA from 1 species